rnacentral:rRNA from 1 species
GGAUUAGAUACCCUGGUAGUCCACGCCGUAAACGAUGAUUACUCGACAUUGGCGAUACACAGUCAGUGUUCAAGCGAAAGUGAUAAGUAAUCCACCUGGGGAGUACGUUCGCAAGAAUGAAACUCAAAGGAAUUGACGGGGGCCCGCACAAGCGGUGGAGCAUGUGGUUUAAUUCGAUGAUACGCGAGGAACCUUACCUGGGCUUAAAUGUAGAUUGACAGGACUGGAAACAGUUUUUUCUUCGGACAAUUUACAAGGUGCUGCAUGGUUGUCGUCAGCUCGUGCCG